rnacentral:rRNA from 1 species
UACGUAGGGGGCAAGCGUUGUCCGGAAUCAUUGGGCGUAAAGAGCGUGUAGGCGGCCUGGUAAGUCCGCUGUGAAAGUCCAGGGCUCAACCCUGGAAUGCCGGUGGAAACUGUCAGGCUCGAGUCCGGAAGAGGCGAGUGGAAUUCCCGGUGUAGCGGUGAAAUGCGCAGAUAUCGGGAGGAACACCUAUGGCGAAGGCAGCUCGCUGGGACGUUACUGACGCUGAGACGCGAAAGCGUGGGGAGCAAACAGG